rnacentral:rRNA from 1 species
CGGACUGGCUUAGGGAGGUUGGCAACGACCACCCCGAGCCGGAAAGUUGGUCAAACUUAGUCAUUUAGAGGAAGUAAAAGUCGUAACAAGGUUUCCGUAGGUGAACCUGCGGAAGGAUCAUUAACGAAUAAACUUGGUGGACUGUCGCUGGCUCUUUAGGGAGCAUGUGCACGUCUGUCAUCUUUAUCUUUCCACCUGUGCACUUUCUGUAGACCUGGAGAAAAAAAAAUCUACUCUGAGGCAACUCAGUCGUGAGGAGUUGUAGGCAUAAAAGUCAGCUCUCCUUGAGUAUCCAGGUUUAUGUCUUUCACAUACUCCAAUGAAAUGUAAUAGAAUGUUAUCAAUGGGUCUUUGUACCUAUAAUAAAACUAUACAACUUUCAGCAACGGAUCUCUUGGCUCUCGCAUCGAUGAAGAACGCAGCGAAAUGCGAUAAGUAAUGUGAAUUGCAGAAUUCAGUGAAUCAUCGAAUCUUUGAACGCAUCUUGCGCUCCUUGGUAUUCCGAGGAGCAUGCCUGUUUGAGUGUCAUUAAAUUCUCAACCUUACCAGCUUUGCUGCUUGGUUUGGCUUGGAUGUGGGGGUUUAGUUUGCAGGCUUUUUCAUAAGUCAGCUCCCCUAAAAUGUAUUAGUGGUACCCUUGUGGUUACUGACUAUUGGUGUGAUAAUUAUCUACGCCAUUAGACAUCCACAUCUUAUAAAAGGGUUAUGCUGCUUCUAACAGUCCAUUGACUUGGACAAAUACAAUGACAAUUUUGACCUCAAAUCAGGUAGGACUACCCGCUGAACUUAAGCAUAUCAAUAAGCGGAGGAAAAGAAACUAACAAGGAUUCCCCUAGUAACCGCGAGUGAAGCGGGAAAAGCUCAAAUUUGAAAUCUGGCAGUCUUUGAUUGUCCGAGUUGUAAUCUAGAGAAGUGUUACCCGCGUUGGACCGUGUACAAGUCUCCUGGAAUGGAGC